UAGCUACAGGCUUAACACAUGCAAGUCGAGGGGCAGCAUGGUCUUAGCUUGCUAAGGCCGAUGGCGACCGGCGCACGGGUGAGUAACACGUAUCCAACCUGCCGUCUACUCUUGGACAGCCUUCUGAAAGGAAGAUUAAUACAAGAUGGCAUCAUGAGUCCGCAUGUUCACAUGAUUAAAGGUAUUCCGGUAGACGAUGGGGAUGCGUUCCAUUAGAUAGUAGGCGGGGUAACGGCCCACCUAGUCUUCGAUGGAUAGGGGUUCUGAGAGGAAGGUCCCCCACAUUGGAACUGAGACACGGUCCAAACUCCUACGGGAGGCAGCAGUGAGGAAUAUUGGUCAAUGGGCGAGAGCCUGAACCAGCCAAGUAGCGUGAAGGAUGACUGCCCUAUGGGUUGUAAACUUCUUUUAUAAAGGAAUAAAGUCGGGUAUGCAUACCCGUUUGCAUGUACUUUAUGAAUAAGGAUCGGCUAACUCCGUGCCAGCAGUCGCGGUAAUACGGAGGAUCCGAGCGUUAUCCGGAUUUAUUGGGUUUAAAGGGAGCGUAGAUGGAUGUUUAAGUCAGUUGUGAAAGUUUGCGGCUCAACCGUAAAAUUGCAGUUGAUACUGGAUAUCUUGAGUGCAGUUGAGGCAGGCGGAAUUCGUGGUGUAGCGGUGAAAUGCUUAGAUAUCACGAAGAACUCCGAUUGCGAAGGCAGCCUGCUAAGCUGCAACUGACAUUGAGGCUCGAAAGUGUGGGUAUCAAACAGGAUUAGAUACCCUGGUAGUCCACACGGUAAACGAUGAAUACUCGCUGUUUGCGAUAUACGGCAAGCGGCCAAGCGAAAGCGUUAAGUAUUCCACCUGGGGAGUACGCCGGCAACGGUGAAACUCAAAGGAAUUGACGGGGGCCCGCACAAGCGGAGGAACAUGUGGUUUAAUUCGAUGAUACGCGAGGAACCUUACCCGGGCUUAAAUUGCAGAUGAAUUACGGUGAAAGCCGUAAGCCGCAAGGCAUCUGUGAAGGUGCUGCAUGGUUGUCGUCAGCUCGUGCCGUGAGGUGUCGGCUUAAGUGCCAUAACGAGCGCAACCCUUGUUGUCAGUUACUAACAGGUUCCGCUGAGGACUCUGACAAGACUGCCAUCGUAAGAUGUGAGGAAGGUGGGGAUGACGUCAAAUCAGCACGGCCCUUACGUCCGGGGCUACACACGUGUUACAAUGGGGGGUACAGAGGGCCGCUACCACGCGAGUGGAUGCCAAUCCCCAAAACCUCUCUCAGUUCGGACUGGAGUCUGCAACCCGACUCCACGAAGCUGGAUUCGCUAGUAAUCGCGCAUCAGCCACGGCGCGGUGAAUACGUUCCCGGGCCUUGUACACACCGCCCGUCAAGCCAUGGGAGCCGGGGGUACCUGAAGUGCGUAACCGCGAGGAGCGCCCUAGGGUAAAACUGGUGACUGGGGCUAAGUAGU
rnacentral:rRNA from 1 species